UGUGGGAGCUGGCUUGCCUGCGAUGGCUGUGUGUCAGGACCGGAUGAGUUGACUGAUACACCGCCAUCGCAGGCAAGCCAGCUCCCACA
rnacentral:misc_RNA from 1 species